GACGAACGCUGGCGGCGUGCUUAACACAUGCAAGUCGAACGAUGAACCCGGAGCUUGCUCUGGUGGAUUAGUGGCGAACGGGUGAGUAACACGUGAGUAACCUGCCCUUGACUCUGGGAUAAGCUUUGGAAACGACGUCUAAUACCGGAUAGGACCUUGUAUCGCAUGAUCUGGGGUGGAAAGUUUUUUCGGUCUGGGAUGGACUCGCGGCCUAUCAGCUUGUUGGUGAGGUAAUGGCUCACCAAGGCUUCGACGGGUAGACGGCCUGAGAGGGUGACCGGCCACACUCAGACUGAGACACGGACCAGACACCUACGGGCGGCAGCAGUGGGGGAUAUAGCACAAUGGGCGAAAGGAUGAUGCAGCCACGCAGCGUGCGGGAGGAAGGACUGCGGGUUGUAAACAGCUCUUAGUAGGGAAGAAGGGCUUCGGCUUGACGGUACCUGCAGAAAAAGGACCGGCUAACUACGUG
rnacentral:rRNA from 1 species